rnacentral:misc_RNA from 1 species
GAUGAAGAACGUAGCGAAAUGCGAUAAGUAGUGUGAAUUGCAGAAUUCAGUGAAUCAUCGAAUCUUUGAACGCACAUUGCGCCCCUCGGUAUUCCGUGGGGCAUGCCUGUUCGAGCGUCAUUUAACCCCUCAAGCCUAGCUUGGUAUUGGGUGCUUGUACCGCCUCUCGCGCGGCGACUCACCUCAAAGUCAUUGGCAGCCCGCAUCUCGCCGGCCGUGAGCGCAGCACAGACGCGCUCUUGGCAACGACGGAUCGGCUCUCCAAAAGCUUAUUUCAACCACUGACCUCGGAUCAGGUAGGGAUACCCGCUGAACUUAAGCAUAUCAAUAAGCGGAGGA